rnacentral:lncRNA from 1 species
GAUUUAUCCUAGCUCAAAGGACCCUAGUCCAAAAAUUUCACUAUUUUUGAAAAGUCAGAAGUAUUUUUAAACAAACUAAAAAUAUGCACAAAAACAUUUAAUUCAUUAAAAAUAUCAAAAUUAAUCCAAAAAAUAAUUUUAAUUCAGAAUAUGAAAAAAAAAAUAUUUAAAGAUAUUUGGUGAAAGUCCCGUAUUUUUUGGAUUAAAAAUGAAAUUUCUAUGAAUAAAAUAAAAUAAGAGGAUUAAA